rnacentral:rRNA from 1 species
UACGUAGGGGGCGAGCGUUGUCCGGAUUUAUUGGGCGUAAAGAGCUCGUAGGCGGUUCGAUAAGUCGGACGUGAAAUCUCCACGCUCAACGUGGAGGGGCCGUUCGAUACUGUCGUGACUCGAGUCCGGUAGGGGAGUGUGGAAUUCCUGGUGUAGCGGUGAAAUGCGCAGAUAUCAGGAGGAACACCAGCGGCGAAGGCGGCGCUCUGGGCCGGUACUGACGCUGAGGAGCGAAAGCGUGGGGAGCAAACAGG